GUCAACAGUGCCGGGACCCCCUCCCAGAGUAAGUAGUCAAACCGUUUAAGAACAGUUUGACAACUUACCUGAGGUCUGCUGGGAAAUGGGGCUGUAGUAGGGCAUAUGAGCAGUGGUGUGUGUGAGUGGUGCAAUGUGUAAGGGGUGCAGUGUGUGUGUGUGUGUGUGUGAGAGGGGGACAGUGUGUGAGCAGUGUGUGUGUGUGUGUGAAGGUUGUAGUAUGUGAGUGAGGGCGGCAGUGUAUGUCAGGGAUACAGUGUGUGUGUGAGUAUUGCAGUGUAUGUGUGAGUGUGGGCAGUGUGUGUGUAUGGGGGGC